GAGGUGACAGGCCAGGUGAGGGCGGAGGUGACAGGCCAGGUGAGGGCAGGUGACAGGCCAGGUGAGGACGGAGGUGACAGGCCAGGUGAGGGCGGAGGUGACAGGCCAGGUGAGGACGGAGGUGACAGGCCAGGUGAGGGCGGAGGUCCCCACCCCAAGUCUCUGCCCGGGUCACUGCCCGUCGGCCACGCCAAAGAGGCGGGAUAGUCACUGAGGCGGCGCGUCCCACGGGGCGGAGGGAGCGUCGGGCCGGGGCCGCCGGAACGUGCUCGGGGAGCCGCCCGGGAGCGCCCACGCCGGCCCAGUCCGUCCGCUGCACAGUUUCCGGGAUACGCGCGUCAGGCGCACUGACGUCAUGGACAAGCGCCCGACGUCACGGACCCUCGCCGGCAGGCCCCGCCCUCGACCACGCCCUCCUCCGAGGCCCCGCCCACCACAGG